GUUUAGAAUGUAAGAAUGGCUCAUUAAAAUUUAAACUGAAGAAAGUCACUAGUGGAUUCUUUGCAUGUGUCGAUUUUAGUGCUGAUGAACAAAUUCCACCAUGGCUUUAUCCUUUCAAACCAAAAGACCAAGUGGAUUUCUACAUUGUGGCUCUUAUUGAACCAAACUUAACAUCUGCUGGGACAAUUACACAUUCUGUUUUCAAAAUAACUGGAGAGACAGUCCAGCUGCCCUGUAAUUUGACCAUACCUACGAAACAGACAUACAAUGUGUUCUGGAUCAAGACCAAUACAGAAAGAAACUCCUCAUGUCUUCAUUCUUAUUCAUUGGGAUCCGAUCUUAUAGUACAACUUAUGACUUCCACUGUCUCAGUGAUGAAAACUUGCAUCACAGACUGUCAACUAUUACAUUUAAGACAUCUCAGUUUCAAUCUUUUCAUCAUCUUACAAUCAGAAAUGUGACGCCUGCUGACAGUGGACAGUAUGAGUGUGUCUUGCAGAAGGUUAAGUGGAAGGUGAUAACUAAGAUCACAGUGACUGUGGAUGUGAAGGACAUCAUACAAACAUCAGAUGGGAACUCUCUCCUUGUACUUAGGCAUGUGAUGAGUGCCCUGAUCCUCUUCUGCCUGUUCAUAACUGCCAUUGUCGUUUUUGUGAGGAAAACAGAAUGGUUGUC